rnacentral:rRNA from 1 species
GAUGAACGCUAGCUACAGGCUUAACACAUGCAAGUCGAGGGGUAACGAGAGGAAAGCUUGCUUUCCUUGUCGACGACCGGCGCACGGGUGAGUAACGCGUAUCCAACCUGCCCCCAACUAGGGAAUAACCUUGCGAAAGUAGGACUAAUACCCUAUAAUUUCCUCAGAUGUCAUCUGACGAGGAAUAAAGAUUUAUCGGUUGUGGAUGGGGAUGCGUCGGAUUAGCUUGUUGGCGGGGUAACGGCCCACCAAGGCAACGAUCAGUAGGGGUUCUGGGAUGAAGGGCCCCAACAUUGGAACUGAGACACGGUCCAAACUCCUACGGGAGGCAGCAGUGAGGAAUAUUGGUCAAUGGGCGGAAGCCUGAACCAGCCAAGUAGCGUGCAGGAUGACGGCCCUAUGGGUUGUAAACUGCUUUUAUACAGGAAUAAAGUUAGCCACGUGUGGUUAUUUGUAGGUACUGUAUGAAUAAGGACCGGCUAAUUCCGUGCCAGCCGCCGCGGUAA